CCUACGGGUGGCAGCAGUGAGGAAUAUUGGUCAAUGGGCGGGAGCCUGAACCAGCCAAGCCGCGUGAGGGAAGAAGGUACAGCGUAUCGUAAACCUCUUUUGCCAGGGAACAAAGGCGGGGACUAGUCCCCGUAUGAGGGUACCUGAAGAAAAAGCAUUGGCUAACUCCGUGCCAGCAGCCGCGGUAAUACGGAGGAUGCGAGCGUUAUCCGGAUUUAUUGGGGUUAAAGGGUGCGCAGGCGGCCUGUUAAGUCAGCGGUAAAAGCCCGGGGCUCAACCCCGGAGAGCCGUUGAAACUGGGGGGCUGGAGUGGGAGAGAGGUACGCGGAAUGCGCGGUGUAGCGGUGAAAUGCUUAGAUA
rnacentral:rRNA from 1 species